AUGGCCCCAUCCCGGCCGCCGACGGCGCUGGCGGGGGCUAUGCUGACCGGCAGGGAGANNNNNNNNNNNNNNNNNNNNNNNNNNNNNNNNNNNNNNNNNNNNNNNNNNNNNNNNNNNCGCUCCUCUUUUUUUCUCCAGGCCGACGACGUGGGUGAGGCGGCCGCUGCGGGCCCUUCUUCGUCGGGAGGGGGCGCCGGCGCGGAGCGGGUGGCCUGCCCCGUCUGCGGCGAGUUCAUCCCCGGCUCGGACUACUGCGUCAACACCCACCUCGAUAUAUGCCUCUCCAGAGGAGCGAAACGAAAGUUAACACAGAGCAGCCUUCUCGAUUUCAGAUUCAGCAAAAAAACAACAGCUGAGCCUACCCCAGAGAUCUUGAACAACGGUGACGAGGCAGAAAACAAGGGACUGACGGAUGGAGACGUAUCUACCGACAGAGAAUUUUCCUCCAUGAAUGGCGACACUGGAAGUCCCAUGGAUAGCGCAACUGCUUUAUUAACUUGUUGCCUGCGUGGUUCACCUGGCAUUUCUAAGACGCUCAAUACAUGUAGACCUUCAAAUGCUGGCUUGCCAAUUAUGAAGAACGCUGAAAAUAACGAUGCUGUCGAGAAGGCCUCUUCCUGCUCGUUUUCAGCAGCAACAACUUCUGUCAGUAUUGAUGCAUGUCCAGACGUGGAUUCUAGCACCACGGUAGCUGUUGACACUGUCAUAGUGGGCCGGAGGUUCCGUGAAAGCUUUGAACUGCAAGAGGGCAUGGGCAUUACUGUCUUAAGAGACCCGCAGAAUGCCAAGGACUCUGAUGCUGUCAAGGUGCUUUAUGCAGGGUCUGAUUGCGGGCAGAUGCUUGGAUAUUUGCCUCGAGAGCUGGCUAAAGUCUUGGCUCCUCUACUGGAUACACAUUUUAUUGAAUGCGAGGGAUUUGUGGCUGGUUUGCCUGAACAACAGCUUGACAAUGUGCCCAUCCAACUAACUUGUAAGAAAUGUGAAAAUGACAAUCAGAAUUAUGAAGAUCUGAGAUACCAACAAUCCUUGUGGGAAAAUUUUCUUGGUGUUGUUAGAAAUGGAAAUUUCCAGCAACCUAGCAGUGCAAGAUACCAGGCAAAUUUCAGUACGAUGCUAUUGGAUGUUAUGACCAACCAUACACACCUUUUCAGUGAUACGGAAACAUCAUUUUUAGGAUCUUUUAAGUCGUUAUUGAACGAUGGCCAAAGGCUUUUUGUGAAGAUUUACACUCGAAAAGGGCCAUGGUUUCGGUUGAGCAGCAUUUCGUAUCGUGAGAUAUCAGAUGUUGAGCAUGCAGCCAUGGAGUUGAAGUUGGCAGGUUAUGUAGACAUGUUUUCUUGCACCGAUGUUCCAUUUGAACAUGAUAUGAAAGAGAUUCUCAAUGUGCUAAGUGUUCCUGAAAUGAAGGAAAUCCUAAAGGAGCUCCCUAAGGAUAACACAAACUGCACCCGUCGACAUGAGCUUCUUAGCACCCUUCUCUCUAUGUACAAUAAUGGAACCUGCACAGUGCUUCCAAAGCGAAUUUUUAAAUGGACAGGAACCUGUAUAAGAGUCUCCAAUAUGGCUGAUGAACUUCUGUGGCUUGUUCAGAGGCUAUUUUUUCUAAACGGUGAUCAAGAUCUGUCAUCCUUUCUAUUAGUGGAUCUUGGUCUGGUGAAAUUCCCAGACUACACAUGCAGCGUUGUUCAUCGCAUUUUUCAAGAAAGAAAUGAUUUACUUGAGUAUGAAGAGGCAAUUCGAGUGGCACAGUUCAUGGAUGAAUCUCUUGAUAAUGAUAACAUGGAAUUAGUGUCAAGAUGCACUGAUUUGUCUGAGAAUCGACUAUGCACUUCGUUAAAAGAAGAAGAUAGCAGUUUAGCUGAUUCUCCUCCAUCAUUCUAUUCAUGCUUUUCAUCUACCUGGAUCUAUUCCAAAAUACUCACACUAGGUGUCUCUGUUUACGAACGCGAACGCAGGUAUGCAGAUGCAAUAAGGACUCUAAAGAUACUACUUAGUAAAGUUGCUUCUGGUAGACGGCGAGGAUAUUGGACACUGAGAUUAUCUAUUGAUUUGGAGCAUAUGGGUCGCCCUAAUGAGAGCCUUUCAAUAGCUGAAGGAGGAGUGACCGAUCCAUGGAUCCGUGCUGGGCCAAAGAUUGCACUGCAGAAGAGAGUUCUGCGUUUAGGCAAACCUCCACGGCGCUGGAAAGUUCCCAGUUAUGCUGAUUCUCUUAAGAGAAACAUAAAAGAGGUGAACAUCGAAGGAAGGCCAUUAAAUUGUGAAAUAGGAGCAAAGAAUGUGUUUUAUGGCUAUGAUGGUGACCGUUGUGGGGUAGAGCAAUUAGCUUUGCAGUAUUAUGCUGACGAGGGAGGUGGCUGGGAAGGUACCCAUUCAGAAGGUGGCAUAUGGAUGACAAUCUUUGGCCUUCUAAUGUGGGAUGUAAUAUUCUCAGAAGUAUCCGAUGUUUUCCAUUCUAAAUUUCAGACGGCCCCUCUUGAUUUUGAAACAGAUGACUUCUACAAGUCAAGAAAGGACCUUAUAGAAGCACAGUUGAAAAGGAUACAAGAUGGAAUGGCCGAAGAGAUGCUUAUCAGCUCCUGGGAGCUACAUCAAGGGACAUCCUGCAGGGGUGUCAACUGGGACCGGCAUCCAAUGGCCGAUGUACGGGCUGUCGUUGCGGGCGCUGGUGGGCAUCGCUUGGCAUUACUUCUUCGGCAUCUAGCCCUCGAUUACAGGAGCUGGUCCAGCGGGAUGCCUGAUCUGCUGCUAUGGCGUUUCCUGGAUGAACGAGGUGGUGCUGAAGCUAAACUUGUGGAGGUCAAAGGACCAAAGGAUCAGCUCUCUGAGCAGCAACGUGCUUGGAUUUUUGUCCUGAUGGAUUUCGGGUUUGAUGUGGAAGUUUGCAAAGUGAGCCUAGUUUCUAAGCAGCGAUAG
rnacentral:rRNA from 1 species